AUUGAACGCUGGCGGCAUGUUUUACACAUGCAAGUCGAACGGUAACGCGGGGCAACCUGGCGACGAGUGGCGAACGGGUGAGUAAUGCAUCGGAACGUGCCUGGUAGUGGGGGAUAACUGCUCGAAAGAGCAGCUAAUACCGCAUACGACCUGAGGGUGGAAGGGGGGGAUCGCAAGACCUCUCGCUAUCAGAGCGGCCGAUGUCGGAUUAGCUAGUUGGUGGGGUAAAGGCCCACCAAGGCGACGAUCCGUAGCUGGUCUGAGAGGACGACCGGCCACACUGGGACUGAGACACGGCCCAGACUCCUACGGGAGGCAGCAGUGGGGAAUUUUGGACAAUGGACGCAAGUCUGAUCCAGCCAUGCCGCGUGCGGGAAGAAGGCCUUCGGGUUGUAAACCGCUUUUGUCAGGGAAGAAAUCUUCUGGGUUAAUACCUCGGGAGGAUGACGGUACCUGAAGAAUAAGCACCGGCUAACUACGUGCCAGCCGCCGCCGUAAGAC
rnacentral:rRNA from 1 species